UGGGGAAUCUUCCGCAAUGGACGAAAGUCUGACGGAGCAACGCCGCGUGAGUGAAGAAGGCCUUCGGGUUGUAAAGCUCUGUUAUUAGGGACGAACGUACUGUGUGUAAAUAAUGCAUGGUAGUGACGGUACCUAAGGAGGAAGCCACGGCUAACUACGUGCCAGCAGCCGCGGUAAUACGUAGGUGGCGAGCGUUGUCCGGAAUUAUUGGGCGUAAAGAGCGUGUAGGUGGGAUAGUAAGUCUCAUGUUAAAGUGCGGGGCUCAACCCCGUGAAGCGUGGGAAACUGCUAUUCUUGAGUGCCGGAGAGGAAAGCGGAAUUCCCAGUGUAGCGGUGAAAUGCGUAGAUAUUGGGAGGAACACCAGUGGCGAAGGCGGCUUUCUGGACGGUGUCUGACACUGAGGCGCGAAAGCCAGGGGAGCGAACGGG
rnacentral:rRNA from 2 species